rnacentral:lncRNA from 1 species
UUGUCACGCCCCCGACCCGAGAUUUUGAAUCGAGGGUCAUGGCAACCGCCGCAUACUCAUAGAAAACUCUUCCCAUAAGCAUGCAAGGCAUCUUAUCAUACUAUCCUAAAACAACAGCGGAAUAAUUAGUCAACAAUUUAAAUCUAAAAUAUAACGACCUAAAUUUUUUCUUUAAUAUCUCAAUAAAUUCAACAACGAUUCAAAGGCUUUGCAUCAAAUUCAAUAAGCCUUUCAACCUAAAAUAAAAGUAUGAAGAUACUGCU